rnacentral:rRNA from 1 species
UACGAAGGGGGGCUAGCGUUGUUCGGAGUUACUGGGCGUAAAGCGCACGCAGGCGGUCUGCUAAGUUUGGAGUGACAGUUGGUGGCUUAACUGCCAAAGUGCUUCGAAAACUGACAGACUUGAGGGCUUCAGAGGGACACGGAAUUCCGGGUGGAGUGGUGAAAUGCGUAGAGAUCCGGAGGAACACCAAAGGCGAAGGCAGUGUCCUGGAGAGUACCUGACGCUCAGGUGCGAAAGCCAGGGGAGCGAACGGG